UACGAAAGGUGCAAGCGUUGUUCGGAAUCAUUGGGCGUAAAGCGCACGUAGGCGGGCUUGCAUGUCGAUUGUGAAAGCCCAGGGCUCAACCCUGGAAUUGCAGUCGAAACUGCAAGUCUUGAAUACCUGAGAGGGUGGGGGAAUUCCUGGUGGAGAAGUGAAAUUCGUAGAGAUCAGGAGGAACACCGGAGGCGAAGGCGCCUGCCUGGCAGUGUAUUGACGCUCAGGUGCGAAAGCGUGGGGAGCAAACAGG
rnacentral:rRNA from 1 species